AGACAAGCGUGUCCGUAGUAUGUUGCUCGCCGUAUCAAUGUCCAUUUCUUGUUCUUUUCAUCUCACGUGGUUUUCGUAAUUGCCAAUUUUUUAAUUGAUUAUGGUGGUGAAAUUUGGCUUGCUAUCACUAUUGCUGUUUUGCUGCUUUAAAUCGUAAUAAAUGAAAAGAAUUACUAAUGCCAAUAGGUUGGUUGGUUGAGGGCUGAUGACCAGACGAUUUGAACCUUGAACGUACGUGGCGUACAAUCCCCGUGUGUCAGUGAAUCAUGAUGAUUCACGCACAUGGGGACCUGCAGAUCCGCCAACUCGAGGAAUCCGAUCAAGGAUGUGUCAGUUCAGUUGAAUGUAACAGAUCAACACAGCCGUGAUGAAGAAGCAAAUCAAGUUCAGGUGCCCCCGGAUAUUGUCGACGAUCGAAUUACGGGUGACGUCAUUGACAACGAAGGCGACAACGUGACGCUGACGUGCAUAGCCAAGGGCAAACUUAAUCCGAGGGGCGUCGUGAAGACAACCAAAAAGAGUCGUAGUGGAACGAAGAUAUUCAAAAAAUGGCAGUAAAUCAGAUGGAACAACAUCCAUUAAGCCUAUUGUUGUUCCAGAACUGCAGACUUUUACAACUAACUUCAACGACCUACGAUAGUGAAGACGAGGGAACGAUUCAAAGUUUUAUUAUUCAAGAAGUGGACGCUUGUGAUGGUGAAACAUUAAGACUAUACCGCGUGACAAGUCACAUGAAGACGUCUUACCCGCAGUCAGCAAACGUGUGCAGCUCACCGUUAACUUUCCACCCGUGGUGACGUCGUCGAUGGGCGUGGUGGCUGUUCUGCUAAACACCGAUGUCCGUCUGACAUGCCGAGAAUCAGUUACUGGAUGAAGGGAAGUCAACAAGCACAACACAAUACAAUUUGUGUCAAGCCCCAAGUACAACAUCGACGACGGUGAAAGAGGUGGGUCUUCCACCUAUACAAGACGAGUAUGUCGUUGAUCAUCCACAACUUCCAUGUUUAACAGCCCUCUCGCUGGACAGUAUUUUGAGUGUAAAAAAUUAUCAAACAGAAGUGACCAGACCGGUGAGCGGAUCCACACCCAACAGCUGUCUGACAGUUUCGUUUGACAGCAACAUCGCCAUGGAAGAUGGGCAAAGUUGGUGCAUACUUCAUAGAAAGGACGAAGACUCUAGUGGGGAACGAAUGUGAUUGGCAUGACAGAUGAAGACAGCCAUCAGUCAAUUUAGAAUGUUGUCGAGACUAUUUAGAUACCCCAACAGACUUAAUGUGCAGCAAAGUGACACAUUCCGUGGGAGUGUUUGAGCGGAAGUAGUCCAAUCCGGGGGAGGGUUUGUAUAAUCGAGCGACUCGUAAAUAGAAUAACGUUCUGCUGUGGUUCGAACUUUUCAAUUUUGCUCGAUUUCUCUGUAGAAAUAAAUGACGGAUUCAUUUCAA